rnacentral:rRNA from 1 species
UACGUAGGUGGCGAGCGUUGUCCGGAAUUACUGGGUGUAAAGCGCGUGUAGGCGGGAGGCCAAGUCUGCGGUGAAAUCGCUCGGCUCAACUGGGCGGGGUCCGUGGAAACUGGUCACCUGGAGGACGGUAGAGGCGAGUGGAAUUCCCGGUGUAGUGGUGAAAUGCGUAGAGAUCGGGAGGAACGACCAGUGGCGGAAGGCGGAGCAUCCUGGACCCAA